GACGAACGCUGGCGGCGUGCCUAACACAUGCAAGUCGAGCGAGGUUGCGGAUGGGUGCUUGCACCCUGAAGCUACCUAGCGGCGGACGGGUGAGUUAACGCGUGAGUAACCUGCCUUAUACAGGGGGAUAACAACGAGAAAUCGUUGCUAAUACCGCAUAAGACCACGGUAUCGCAUGGUACAGGGGUAAAAGGAGCAAUCCGGUAUAAGAUGGACUCGCGUCCCAUUAGCUAGUUGGUGAGAUAACAGCCCACCAAGGCAACGAUGGGUAGCCGACCUGAGAGGGUGAUCGGCCACACUGGGACUGAGACACGGCCCAGACUCCUACGGGAGGCAGCAGUGGGGAAUCUUAGGCAAUGGACGAAAGUCUGACCUAGCGACGCCGCGUGAGGGAAGAAGGCCUUCGGGUUGUAAACCUCUGUCAUGGGGGAAGAAGUAAGUGACGGUACCCCAAGAGGAAGCCCCUGCUAACUACGUG
rnacentral:rRNA from 1 species